rnacentral:lncRNA from 1 species
UGAGCCUCAAAGCUUGGAUCCAAUGGGCCUACAAAUCAAAUUCGAUCCGACACUAAAUUACGACCCACUGGACCAAAGUAGGGUCCGAAAGGGCAAUUCGGUCAAUCGAUCCCUCAUUCCCACCAAAUAUAAUUGCUCGGGUUCACGUCACUCGUCCUUUCUUAAGCCCUAGAAACCCUAGCUCUCUCGGAGGCGCCUCUGCUGAUACCGCGCAUCUCUUCUGGUACGUGAUUUUUCAGUCCAAAACUUCAUAAUUUCCAUCAAUUGUCUGAUAUUGUUUCGAUUAGGGUUUGCUUUCAGUCUUUAUUUGUUAGAGUUUCGUCCUUUUUAAUUAUUUUUUGAGGUUGAUUUGGGCAUCUGGAUCUCUUGGAUCUUGAUUUUGUUAAUUUGAUUUGGAAUACGUUUUGUUUUGGUGUGCUUGGAUUGAAAUGCUGUUAUUUUUGUGCUUAAGUAGGUCAAAUGUUUGUUUUUUACUUGAUUAUGGUGGGAAUAAAUGAUUCUGGAAUUGGGUUUUUAUAAAUUAGGGGCUUUGAACAAGUGUGAUAAUUGUGGAAUCUAGAUUGAUAUGUUUGACUGAGCUAGAAAUGGGGAAAGGGAUCGAACUACCGUUACUGGUUUUCAUUUUGCUUUUUUAACACAUUGCUUAAGAGUGUAAGAUUUGACAAGUGAAUAGCUUUUGUAUUAUGUUUUUGUUUGGUGGUUUUGUACUUGUUGACUUGCGUGCAAUAGCUCCGAUGAACUUAUAUUGGAUUAUCUUUUCUGAAAUGCAAAAGCGACAAUGAGAGUUAGCGUUCUGAAUGAUGCUCUUAAGAGCAUGUACAAUGCUGAGAAAAGGGGCAAGCGCCAGGUCAUGAUCAGACCAUCGUCCAAGGUCAUUGUCAAGUUUCUUUUGGUGAUGCAAAAGCACGGUAUGCAUCCAUCAGUUAAAGCUAUACAUCAUUUUCGUUAUUUCAAAGUUUCUAUGUGAGUUGUUAUUUUUCUGGGUGUAUGGAUAGUAAUAUUUUUGGUUUUGCUAUGUAGGAUACAUUGGCGAGUUUGAGUAUGUUGAUGAUCACAGGGCUGGUAAAAUUGUGGUCGAGCUGAAUGGAAGGCUUAACAAGUGUGGGGUUAUCAGCCCUCGUUUUGAUGUCGGCGUUAAGGAGAUUGAGGGAUGGACUGCAAGGUUGCUUCCCUCUAGACAGGUUAGCCCAUUUUUAUCAGUUAGCUAUUUCAAGCCUAGAAACAGGACAUAUGUCUUAGUCGAUUCUUUUGAGGAAACGUAUAUAGUUUGGAUUUGUAACUCAUCUAUUUUUGAGCAAAACAAAAUUGUAAAAAAAUGUUAUUGGCAAGAUUAUAUAUUAUUGAUCAUGUCAAUGGUGAUUGGUCUAGCUUUUCACCUGGCUCCUGUUUGAGCUUUCCUGUAAUGUGCUUCAUGUAUCAUAUCAGAUCUUUUGUGUCAGAUGAACUUUGAAUUCUCGUUUUUUCUGCUUGAUCGAAUGUUAUGCAUUGUGUUGUAUUUCUUAUCCACUUAAGCUUACGGAUGUUUGGUUGAAGUUGCAGUUUGGAUACAUUGUGCUGACAACAUCUGCUGGCAUUAUGGACCACGAGGAGGCUAGAAGAAAGAAUGUCGGUGGUAAAGUGCUUGGUUUCUUUUACUAGGCAAAGCUUCAACGAAUGAGAAUCGAGUUUUCCUGUUUCUGAGAGGAGCUUUGGGGUGUACUUUUGAACAUCUUAGGAUACGUCUAUGUUUCAAUUUGUGUUUGUUUUGGAUGCUGAUAGAGAUUACUGAAACGUUAUUUGCUUUACUUUUAUCUUAUGGAAUCCAAAUUUUGGCUUCAAGCAAGUAAUGCUUUUGCUUUGUAUGUUUUUCUUUGAAUAACGAAUGGAUGAAGGUUGGUUGUUAUGAAAGAUGCUGUGUUAGCUUUUUAAUGCUAUAUGCUCGGCAUCGUUCUGAAAAUGGACUUGAGCUUGCAUAUUGUACUCUUUCAAAUUAAUAUCCAUCUGUUGGUCGGUAAUCUGCGACUUAAGUUACUUGAGGAGAAAGGAAGAUUAGUUAUUAAACCGCGGGUGUUCUUCACUUGUAAGUGAGAAGUCGUAGUUUCAAUUCUCACUUUGUAAGUGAGAAGUCUUAGUUUCGAUUCUCGCUAAAAGCGAGUUUGAACAACAUUAUUGCUAGCCUUUUUUUGUUAAUGUAGAUAACAUCGUUUGUUAAAAAAAAAAACGAUCUUGUUUGAUCGUAAGCCCUCCAUUCCUCUCAAAAUUAAGGAAAUGGAUUGGUAUUGGGCAAUAACAGUAAAUUCGAACUAAAUGGAUAGUUUUGAAAACGACAGAAUUAUGGGUCUUAAAACGGUGAAGAGUACAAACAAGUCUGAAGUGGUUGAGGGGAUCAUGUUCCAAUUUUUCUUCAAGUUAUUGAUUAAAAGAUAGAGAAUCAUCAAAACCAUACAAAAUGGACUCCUAAGUGCUUUAAUGGUCCACGUGGAUCUACAAAAUCCCACAAUAAAACUCAUGCAUGGUUAAUGCGCGGAACUGUUACUAGCACUUUAAAAUAUUAUGCUCUUCGUUUUAUUUUUUAUUUUUCAUACAUCGGUGAAGUGCAGAAUGACUUCGAGAAUAUCCUAUAAACUAUUGUACGUUUAGAUUACCGAGAUAAAAAAAAAGAAAAGAAAAAUGUGAUGUUUGAGAACAAGAGACUACAUAAACCAGCAGGGAUUUUAUUAAUGCCAAUACUGGAGGACUGUCCCCCCUUGACCUAGCAGUAGUGGAACUGGUGGUGGCAUAAGUAGUACUGGUUUUUGAAGCAUGAUAUUAAAGUUAACAACAACACGAUUAGCAUGGCCCCUGAGGAAGGAUGACACGCUUAAAUCGGAAAACAACACAAAGAUAAAAGAUUGCGGAUACUGCCAAAGAUCUGUAGUUGCCCUAGCUACCAUCAAAGCCAACCAACAUGACUUCCAAAUUUCAAUUAGCUUUUUCGUCGUCGCUUGCGUCAUCUUCGUUGGUAGUAGCAACAACAUGGUGACCACCAACUUGACCACCACCAAUGGUAUCUCCGCCGCCACUCCCGACUUCCAUUGGCAACGAGGCGCCGAGGACGAAGAAGUUGGAGAAGCAAGAAGGUAGAUGAUGAUGGUGUUCAAGAGCUUUUCAUGUUGGAAGGGUGAUAAAACAUGGGCGCGUUAUGACGUUUUGUAGGUGAAGGGAAGGUGCGGGUAGAGUAUCUUCUCAGGAUAUACUCCGAGCACAACUUUUUGUGUUCCUUCCCAUUCACCUUUUCUCUCACUUCCCAAUUAUUUUUUCUUUUUUUUUUUUGGGUGGGCUUUCAAAUAUUCUAAAUUGAACUUUUAGACCAUGUCUAUUGGGGUGUCUAAGGGUCAUGGGUUAAAGACGAAAUCUAGCCUUCAAAUCUUUGUUGUUGUUCUAAUGGUGUACGAGGUUAGAGGCUAAAAAGUGUUAUUGAUUAGUUUUACAGGCUAUAAUUUUUUUCCUAAACUGGCCUUGUGAAGCGCUUCGGGUAAGAGCUGGCGCUUAAACUGUCUUCGUCAAGAGUUCUAGACGAUUUCAGCUUAAGUCAGAUACAUCUCAUUAAAUAUUAAUUUUUAUCAUUUGAUACGAUAAAUAUCACUUUUGCCUACGUUAGUUCGUGGAAAGCUAAACCUCUCGUUAUAUAAUACUUCAAAUAUUUGCAAUCACACACUUGCAAAAGUGUGUAAAACUUCUUUUAACUUAUUCUUAUCGGAUCAUAAAAUUAUCUUCUUUAAAUUUGAGAGUUAACAAGCACCAUUUGAGAGUAAAGUAAUAAAUUAUUAAAUUGCCUAGGUGUGUGAGUAUUUGGGCUUAUAAAGGUGUUAUGACCCAAAAUAACUUGGGCCUUAGGGGCCUAAUACGAAACAUACAGGACCUCAAAAAUUCAAAAGUUUGCCAAAAUCAUUUUCUUUUUGUUGGAUUAAAUUAUCAAUUAAAAAAUCUCGAACCGGAUGACAAUCCAUUAUCUUAAGGGAAAUGCUAAGAAGAUCAAAUUUAUAAACUAAAUUUACAAACCAAAUGUGUCACAAAUAGAAAAUAAGUACGUUAAUUAACACUUGUAAUAAUCCAAUCAUUAAAAUCCGCAUCAUUUCAUCCAAAUUGGCAUAGAUAUAUGUGUGUUAUCUUUUCACUCUGACUCUAAUUAGUGUUUUGUUCUCUUACCAAUUGUUGUAUUCUAUUACGUGUGGGUAACCUCAUUUUUUAAUUUUAGUGAUCAUCCAAUUUCGAAAGAUAAAUUGGAACACAAUUUUUGCUCCGUAUGGAAGACGAUAGGUAUUUUAUGCAUUCGUACUUAUCAGUCUCUGCAAUCACCAAAAGGAUAAAGUUGAGAUAUCAAGGAGAGUUCUGCUAGAACAUGAACACGAUGCAUUUGCUAUUAAUGGAAAGUUAACGUAAUGUUUAAUUUUGAGUGUAAUUUCUAACGGGCUUCGAGUUUCAAUUCUAAUUUUCUUAUCACAAAAAUUAUCUUUUGAAUAUCCUCUCACAAUGUUACUAUCCGAUUCAGCCUUUAGAAUUUUUAUUUGGUGGUACGCCAAUAAGGAAAUGAAUCAUUUCCGGAUUCAUUCAUUCUAAUUCUAGAAACCCAUCAAUCUGGAUUUUUGAAAUUUGAUUGAACGGCUACAAAUAGAGGCUCACUUUAAAAUUAUAAUAACUUUAACCGUUGAAUCAAAAUUCAAUGGUCUGAAUUGGUAGAUCCCUAAAAUUAGAAGGAAGAGAUCCGGAGAUGAUCUAUUUUUUGCAAUUUUAGAUUUUUUCCUCGCAAAAGAAAAACCGGGAAAAUAUUAAGUGAAGGCGGGUGUACGGAGAUGCAGUGCGGUCCCAUACAGUGGCGAGUCACCCGCGUAUUAUACAGGGACAGCCCUAGAAAUCAAAUUUCUGAAACCCGACGUCGUCCUCCCAGAUAUUGGAUCGUUGUCGCGUCUCCGACGACCGCCCGCUUUAAGCUUCUUCGAAAGGUUUAUCUCCUCUCUCUCUCUCUCCUCUGCGAUCUCCUGCAGUUCCUUAGAUUUUGUUUUUUGUUGAUUUUUUGGUUGUGAAAUUUGGGUUGCAGAGAGUGGUUUGGAUUUGGAAUUAGGGGUCGGUGUUAGAAUCGAUCAAUCCAUGGCGACUGCGCAACCGGCAAGGGGUCGGACCGAUUACGAUUAUCUCAUCAAGCUUCUCCUCAUUGGGGACAGUGGUUAGUCAUCGUUUUUGUUUGGUUCCCGAGAAAAUUAUGGAAUUUGCGAAUUGGAAUUUGAACUUUUUGAGAUCUAAAGUGGUUUUGCUUUACUUUGGUAUUUCUGGUGGGCAAUGUACUUCAAACGAAAAUAAAAAAAAAAGUCAUUUUUGGAAGUAUUUUCUGUUGCAUAAUAGUGGGUGUAGGGUGAUAUUUAGUUGUGUCAAGUUUGAAAUUUUGAAUGCUUGCAAUUUUUGAUAAAUUUAGUGUUUGAGGGACCUGUAUGUGCGUGUAAUUAGAUGGUUUUGUAUGAAAGAUCCAGUUUUGGGUUUGAUGAAGACUAAGAGAGUGAGUAUAAUCAUAUUUCAACGAAACUUUUUUAGGUAUCGAAAUGAAAACAGAAUGCGAGAGUAAUAUCCGACUCUAAUCUGACUCGGUAUGAAUUACAAGGUGAGUGCGAGUACGAACAAUGACCAUAUGGCAUUGUACUGUCUUUCGGGGGUUGAAGAGCAUUUUAACCUCUUGUUAAGACUUGAUGUGAAUUACUGCAUAAAGGUUAAAUAAGAGCUCUGCUGGGGAUCAUGGUUUUGGCUUCAGUUGGGAUUAUUGCUUUUAAAGUUGCUUUGAGACGCAAAGAAGGAUUUGAUUUGUUUGGAUGGUGUCCUGGAUCUUGUGUAUUAAAAAAAAGGAUGUAAAUUGGCCUUUAUUUGGGAGAUAUUUUUAGUUUCGGCUAUAAACUUCUUGGUUCUAAAAUAUAAAAACAUUUCUGCUGUAAUUUCAGGUGUUGGCAAGAGUUGUCUGCUUUUGCGUUUCUCUGACGGCUCCUUCACAACAAGUUUUAUCACCACUAUUGGGUUUGUAUCCGUAAAAUCUGUUUCAAUUUUUGUAUCUGGAAACUUUAGCAAGUGAACAAGUUUUAUGAACCAAAAUAUUAAGUCAGUUAGGACAUGGUCAUUAGCUACUGCUUAAAGCUUCUGUAGAAAUAUGUCAUAAGGAACUAUUACGUUGUGUUUUAUUGAUGAAGAUUCAUCUUUGUUUAGCAUCUCUUAGAUAGUCCUUUGUUGACAGGAUUGAUUUCAAGAUAAGAACAAUCGAGCUUGAUGGCAAACGGAUUAAAUUGCAAAUCUGGGAUACAGCUGGUCAAGAACGAUUUCGAACAAUUACAACAGGUUUGUGUUUGAGAUUUUACAGAUAGAUAAUUUUAAAUUGGAAAAUAGACAGUUGCUGCUGACAAUAGAAGAGCAGGGGGCAGGGGGUUCCUUUCUUAGAGAUGAUUUUUACCUUUUUUUUUAAUUGUGUCCUCCUUUAUUGUUCUUCAGGAGUUUCCUUACAUAUUUAUGUUAUGCUCUGCAGCUUACUAUCGAGGAGCCAUGGGUAUUUUGUUGGUGUAUGAUGUUACCGAUGAGUCAUCUUUCAACAGUAACUUCUCGUUUUUCCUUUACCCUCAGUAUAUGAAUUUUUGAUAGCAUGCUGAUUUUAUGUUCAUUUUGCUUAUCUAUUUAUGUUAUAAUAAUCCAAAUUCUAACAAAUUGGGAUGUAGAGUUGUAGACAUUUCAACCUUGUGGUUCAUUUUGGGUGUGCUUAAACUGGUGUAGUUCUUUUCAGUUUGACCGUUAAUUCAUUGAGGUGGUGGAUGAUUAAAACCAUCAGAGGCACUUCUUCCAUCUCUGUAUAAAUUUUAUAGUUCAAUCUAGCACUUCUUUGGGUAAUUGUCUAUUCAUGUGCAGACAUUAGAAACUGGAUUCGCAACAUUGAGCAGCAUGCUUCUGUCAAUGUCAACAAGAUUCUGGUGGGAAACAAAGCUGAUAUGGAUGAAAGCAGAAGGGUGUGUAAUUUGUAUUUUUUCACUUGCAGGAAAUGCUCUUUUUUUUUUAAGCCGGUGAAAGAAUUAGAAGGGAUGGCUGUGAUGAGUUUAGAAUCCUAUUGGGUUUACAUGAGGAUGCUAGAAUUGCGUGCUCUAUCCCUAUCCAUCUAUUUUUGCAUGUGUUUGUGUGUGCGGGCAUGCCCAAGCUUUAAUUAUCUAUAUUCUUAGGCUGUGCCGACUUCUAGGGGUCAAGCUCUUGCUGAUGAGUAUGGUAUCAAGUUCUGAAACUGUAAGUAGUAAUAUGCCUUCGGUAUUUUGACUACAUAAUCAAUUCCGUUUUUUUUAUAUUGAAAGAAAAUGUUCUGCAGAGUGCAAAGACAAACCUGAAUGUGGAGGAGGUCUUUUUUUCAAUAGCCAGGGAUAUCAAACAGAGACUUGCAGAAUCUGAUGCCAGGGGCACUGAGGUAUUUUCAUCCUCCCCAAAGUGGGAAUCCUUUUUUUUACCCCAACUCUUCUCUCAAAAUGUUGGUGAACUCAUUUGGUUUCGAUGGUUUCAGCCUCAGACACUUAGGAUUAAUGAAGACAGAGCCGGUGGUCAAGCUGCGCAAAACUCAUCUUGCUGCGGUUAGUAAAAAGAGGGAAGGUUCUGUUGGUUGUAGUGAUGUGGAUUUGAGGUAAACCUUGAUAACUCCGUGGGGGGCGCCUCUCUUAGGUCUCUCAACUACCUGCAUUAGUAGUAAAAGUAGUUUUUUUUUUUUCCUCAUAAUUCUGGAAUUUACAAUGACAAGUGCCUUCGCCCAUGAGCGGUAGGUCUCGGGUUCGAGACUUGGGAGCAGCCUCUCCAUAAAUGGGGGUAAGGCUAGCCGACAUUCACCUCUCCCAGACCUUGCGUAAAGCGGGAGCCUUGUGCACUGGGUACGACCUUUUUAUAAUUCUGGAAUUUACAAUGACACUUCUACUCUUUCAUCGUCUUUCGGGUCUGUUUGUUGCCUGUCUUGAUGUAGAUAGAUAAUCAGGUUAUUUUCAAGGUAGAGCUUUAGGUGUUCACUUUGCCUAGUUUGACUGAUAUUAUUGAGUAUGUCU